rnacentral:rRNA from 1 species
GACGAACGCUGGCGGCGUGCUUAACACAUGCAAGUCGAACGGUGAAGCGAGUGCUUGCACUCGUGGAUCAGUGGCGAACGGGUGAGUAACACGUGAGUAACCUGCCCAUCACUCUGGGAUAAGCACUGGAAACGGUGUCUAAUACUGGAUACGACCAACCCUUGCAUGGGGUGUUGGUGGAAAGAUUUAUCGGUGAUGGAUGGACUCGCGGCCUAUCAGCUUGUUGGCGGGGUAAUGGCCCACCAAGGCGACGACGGGUAGCCGGCCUGAGAGGGUGACCGGCCACACUGGGACUGAGACACGGCCCAGACUCCUACGGGAGGCAGCAGUGGGGAAUAUUGCACAGUGGGCGAAAGCCUGAUGCAGCGACGCCGCGUGAGGGAUGACGGCCUUCGGGUUGUAAACCUCUUUCAGCAGGGAAGAAGCGAAAGUGACGGUACCUGCAGAAGAAGCACCGGCUAACUACGUG